UCUGGGUAAAGAUGGACGUCCACGAUCUCUUUCGCCGGCUCGGCGCGGGGGCCAAAUUCGACACGAGACGCUUCUCGGCAGACGCAGCUCGAUUCCAGAUAGGAAAAAGGAAAUAUGACUUUGAUUCUUCGGAGGUGCUUCAGGGACUGGACUUUUUUGGAAACAAGAAGUCUGUCCCAGGUGUGUGUGGAGCAUCACAAACACAUCAGAAGCCCCAAAAUGGAGAGAAAAAAGAAGAGAACCUAACUGAAAGGAAGAGGGAGCAGAGCAAGAAAAAAAGGAAGACGAUGACUUCAGAUAAACUUCUUGCGAAAUAAACACAAAAUUCACGUCCAAGGAACCGAUCUUCCUGACCCAAUUGCUACAUUUCAGCAACUUGACCAGGAAUAUAAAAUCAAUUCUCGACUACUUCAGAACGUUCUAGAUGCAGGUUUCCAAAUGCCUACGCCAAUCCAAAUGCAAGCCAUCCCAGUUAUGUUGCAUGUGAGUAUGAAGAUCUAGAAUGCCUGUAACAUUCCUUCCUCUGUGUGUUUGCCCAUUCUCUUCCCUCUCUUCUUGAACUCUUUCUUUCCACCUUAUCUCCCCUGUUAAAAUCCUUCACUUCCUUUUAAGGUUCAUCAAAUGCCAGUGCCUCCAUAAAAGUUGUCUUGAUCACUCCAUCUAGAUGUGAUCUUCUUCCUUUUCUAGUACCCUUUCCCCCACACUGCAGUUCUUCCAUGGUAUUUGGUGUGUUCUUUUCCUUGCAACAUUUAUUUUACAUUUUAAACUACAUUGUAUUCGCACCAAUCAUAUUUAUCUUUUUCAUUUUACUAGUGUGUAACCCCUUGGAGAAUGGGGAUUAUGUUCUAUUCAUUCAUUCAUUCAUUCAUUCAUUCAUUAUUUAGUUUAUAAUGCCCAGGAACUACUCCAGAAAUACAAAUGCUUUCUAAAGUUCUUGUACAUAAACUGACUUAUUUUUCCGAAUACUUUUUAUUAUUAAAGUAUACUUUACAUACAAUAAAAUGCAUAGAUUUUUAAGUGCCCAGUUUAGUGAGUUUCAGCAAUGCAUGCCCUGUGUAACCACUAUUCCAGUGAAGAUAGAGAACAUAUUUAUUACCCCAGACAAUUUUCUUGUGCCCUUGCCAUUCAGUCCUCACCCUGCCCCUGCUCAGAGGCAACUGCUAUUCUGAUUUCUACUGCUGUAUAUUCCUUUUGCCUCUUCUAGAGUUUUAUAUGAUUGGAAUCACACAUUAAUCUUUUAUUUCUGGUUUCUUUCACUUUGCGUAAUGCUUUGAGAUUCUUCUAUAUUACAUAGAGCAAUAGUUUGUUACCAAGUAGUAUUAUGUUGUAUGAAUAUACCACAAUUUGUUAUCCAGUCACUUGUUGAUAGAGGUAUGGAUUAACUUAGGUUUUUGGAUGUUAAGUUUUUCUGAGGUUUGUUUCUGUAGCAAUAAGAGUUGGGUUUUUUCCCCAUGUAACCGAGAUGGCCUUCAGUUCUGGUUUCCAAAGGAUAUAAGAUACCUUUUCAUCUCUAUACUAGUCCUUUUCGUUUUCUUUGAGAGAUGAAAUGAGAAUACAUUCAUACAUUUAAAUGAUGCUGUUGACUUAUGUUAUAGUAAAUUUGCUUUUAAUUUUUGUUUAAGAUUGUUUCUGUCAUGGCUUUAGCUUAAAGCUUAAAAAAUCACAGUGGGCCGGGUGCGGUGGCUCACGCCUCUAAUCCCAGCACUUUGGGAGACCGAGGCGGGCGGAUCACGAGGUCGGGAGUUCAAGACCAGCCUGGCCAAUAUGGUGAAACCCUGUCUCUACUAAAAAUACAAAAACUAGCUGGGCAUGGUGGCGUGUGCCUGUAAUCCCAGCUACUCGGGAGGCCAAGGCAGAAGAACCACU
rnacentral:lncRNA from 1 species